rnacentral:ribozyme from 1 species
CAGAAAAGAUACCGCUUGCCGAUGCGAAAGCUUAGGCGAGUAAGGGUGAAAAGGUGGGGUAAGAGCCUACCGGAUAUUUGGUGACAAAUAUUGCAGGGUAAACCUUACGCGCUGAAAGAUCAUGUAAACUGCGAAUUUGAGGCUGCUCGCUUCAGUUCUUCGGACGUCGUGGAGGGUAGAUCGUUAGAGGUUAUUGGUGACAGUAAUCCCAGAUAAAUG